GGCUUCAUGGUGGAAAUGGUAGACACGAAGGACUUAAAAUCCUUUGAACAGUAAUGUUCUUGUGGGUUCAAAUCCCACUGAAGCUA
rnacentral:tRNA from 1 species